UUUUCGUUUCCAGCUCUCUCACCAUGUUUCCAAGCGGCUCGGGCCUGCCGGCAGCCGAACUCGUUGACUACUCCGUUUCCUCCCAGGCGGCCGUCGGUUCACUUCCUGCUUGUCCAACUUUCAGCCCGCCCCCGCCCACCUCGCGUCCCAGCGGCUCCGGCCACACCUCGCUCAGGUUCUCCAGGUGCUGAUCCUGACCUCGGAGGGUGUGGAGUAAAAGAAAAGCUUACGCCAUGUACCUAGCACAGCCUGGAACAAAGGGCUGCCCACUGCUCCAAUCAGGAAAUGCUGGGUCACCAACUCUCCUAUUCUAGAGUUCAACCGUCCUGCACGUCCCUUCGGGGGCCACCUCGAGGGUUAGGGAACCCCAACAGAAAUGAGCAAAUGACUGCCCUCUGGACCAGAGAGGGGGCCCAGGGCAAAGGAUUUUUCCACUGACCUGGCUGCAGGCCAGAGAAAAUCCACCCUUCCCGGAUGGUGUUUAUCAAGACAGAAGAACAAUAACAGACCCGUUCAGAAGGAAACAAACAUUCCUGUCCCAUCCCAGAAGUAACAGUUCCAAGAGGGAAAUGGCAGCUUCUCUUGACAAAUGCUUUUUUUUUUGACAAACACUUUUUUAAAGAGCUUAGUAAACUUUGGACAUCCGUAGCAUUUGGAGACCCUUUAUUCUAGUUUCCCAGGUGGUGCUAGUGGUAAGGGACCCAUCUGCCAAUGCAGGGGACAGAAAGAGAUGCAGGUUCCAUCGCUCUGUCAUAAUAUCCCCUGGAGGAGGGCAUGGCAACCCACUCUGGUAUUCUUGCCUGGAGAAUCCCAUGGACAGAGGAACCUGAUGGGCUACAGUCCACGAUCUGCAAAGAGUCACACACGACUGAAGUGACUUUGCAUGCACGCACCUGAAUUUUGGUGGAUAGUAUCAGCCUGCUUUCACAGAGAACUUCGUACCCCACUCCUCAUCAUUCUUAGAAAGGCAACAAUGAAGCCAAGCAGAGGUGGUACUUGUGAGACCAGAUUUCCUUCAUAUACUUCAAUCACAACAGAUGGAAUGCAGAAACAGAAAUGAGAAUCCAGCUUUCUUCAAUUAAGCCAGGCAUUAAAGAGAUCUGCAUGUAAAACAAUCCUAUUCUCAUAUAUUUUUUAGUGUGGAAAAUGUAUUUUUUCAUAAAAAUGUUAUUUAUGUAAACAUGUAAUGGGUUCAUUACUUUUUUUCCUUUUAGUGAAUCAAUGCAUAUUUCAAACAUUUCUCAGGGUAAAUUUCCAAGAGGGUAAAUAUGGAAAAAUAUAACCUAUUAUUCAUAAAAAGCUCUUUAGGGUUCUCAAUAAUGUGUGUAGCAACG